AUACGUAGGUGACAAGCGUUAUCCGGAUUUACUGGGCGUAAAGGGCGUGUAGGCGGUCUUGCAAGUCAGAAGUGAAAUUCCUGAGCUCAACUCGGGCGCUGCUUCUGAAACUGCAGGACUUGAGUGCUGGAGGGGAUAGCGGAAUUCCUAGUGGAGCGGUAAAAUGCGCAGAUAUUAGGAAGAACACCGGUGGCGAAGGCGGCAAUCUGGACAGUAACUAACGCUGGAGAGCGAAAGCGUGGGGAGCAAACAGGAGUAGAUCCCCUGGUCGUCCACGCCGUAAACGAUGAAUACUAGGUGUAGGGGGUAUCGACUCCCUCUGUGCCGCAGUGAACACAUUAAGCACUCCGCCUGGGGAGUACGGCCGCAAGGCUGAAACUCAAAUGAAUUGACGGGG
rnacentral:rRNA from 1 species